ensembl:lncRNA
UACAACCUCUCAUCCGGUCCACCAGUAGAUGUGAUAUCUCGGCUACGUGAGGAGAAAGCCAACUACUGUUUUGUUAGGCGGCUCAGACGUCUGGAGGCUUUCGUACAAGACUGGGAACUCAGCGCAUGGGGAAUGAAUGAAGUUCACAAAAGAAGAGGUCCCCACAGCUGGAGCUGCUUGAGGCACCCUGGCUCACUCCAGCAUGCUCUCCUUCAAAUGCUAAGGAAAAAAAAAACCUACACCUUCCCCAAGGAAUUCGCAGACCUUCCCUGAAGUUUGAAAUGGCUCUCAUUUGCUGUGGCAGUGAGAAGAAGAAGGGGAAGCAAACAGCUGUCUACGAGAGGCAGGUCAGGGGCCUCUAAUCUUCCAUUUUAUACAUACAAGAUUAAAGAUCUGCUUUGAGUUUUGAUUAAGAAUGCAAAGUUAAAAGAUUAAAUACCAGCAAGCCAAAUUAAAGAGGUUUAAGUCAAUCUCGGAACUCAUCAAAGUACCAAAUUUUUAAGCUGUCAUUACAACACAGGAUUAGUGCAAAGCUUCCCUGAACCCUGAUUUGAUGUCCUUCAGUCAACAAUGUUAUUCUCCCCUCAUUUUGUGCUCUUGGCAUAAAACCAGCUAUUGUCUUGUAUUUAAGCUCAUCUCACCUAUGUCCUUCUUUGUCUUUUUUCUGCUUUUUUUUUUUUCCCUGCCCGUGGCCCUGUUAAUCAAGGAACCUGUUUUUUUGUGUGACCUACAGCUUAGCAAUAUACUGUUCUGUAUUAUGCGUUGUCACGAAAUGCGUUAACGCUUAGUAAAUUCGCCUGUUUCAGAAAAAAAAUGCCUUAGUCACCAUGAUUAUUAUAAACUAUUUCUGUGAAUCCCAAGCAGUAAAUAGUUCCUGCAGCCUGCAUGCAUUUCAGCAGAUUGAUUCCAAAAGUUAAAGAAGAGAAAAAAUGUAUUGCAUUCCUAGAUUGAAAUGAGGCUAAUGUGAUCAUCCUAAGGUACCUGAAAAACAGUGUUAAAAGUCUGCAAUUGAUGCUCCAAUGUUUGGGAAAUGGUGAAUCACUCCAGCUGAAAUUAGUGAAGACUUGGGACGUGGAGGGCAGAAGACUGAAGAAUGAUUAAAUCCAGGAAUCUGCUAAUGCAAAUAACCUACUUCGGUAAUAAAUUUUACAAACUGUCGUAAGUGUUAUUUGAAACUCAAGCUGUAAUGCAUUAAAGCAAAUGUUCCCAGGGUUUUCAGUAUAAUAAUUUGGGUCCUUUCCAUUUUUUAUUUAUAGAAGUUGAGACGUCUCAGUUAUAUUAACAUUAUGCUUUCCUCGGUCAUAACCACAAAUGAUAACUUCCGAAUAUUCCCAAAUGCUGAAUUAACGAAAGCCUUAAUUUGAAGUUAUUCCCAUUGGUAAAGUUGAGUGCUACAUGAUGUAUUUCCAAGUUUUCAUCUGAAGACUUGCUUUUUCUUUUUGUAAUACUUAAGAUCAGCAAUUCAACAUUUUUUUUUAACAAAG